rnacentral:rRNA from 1 species
UACGGAGGAUGCGAGCGUUAUCCGGAUUUAUUGGGUUUAAAGGGUGCGUAGGCGGUCCGUUAAGUCAGCGGUAAAAUUGCGGGGCUCAACCCCGUCGAGCCGUUGAAACUGGCAGACUUGAGUUGGCGAGAAGUACGCGGAAUGCGCGGUGUAGCGGUGAAAUGCAUAGAUAUCGCGCAGAACUCCGAUUGCGAAGGCAGCGUACCGGCGCCAGGCUGACGCUGAGGCACGAAAGCGUGGGGAUCGAACUGG